AUGUUACUCCCUCCGUCCCAAAAUUCUUGUCUUAAAAUUACCUAUAUAUGAAUGUAGCUAGUCACAUCUUAGUAUUUAGAUACAUCCAUUUCUAAACAGACAUAAGAUAAAAAAUUUAGGACGAAGAAAGUACUUC
rfam:Hordeum vulgare subsp. vulgare, WGS project CAJW01000000 data, contig: morex_contig_159404